rnacentral:lncRNA from 1 species
UCCAUAUUACACAUUUAAUUCAUGGUCAUAAAACAUGCAUUCAACACACAUGACAUAUUGCCAACCAUGCAUGACAAACAAUCAUAAUCAUAUCUUCACAUCAUAAGUAAUAAAUCAUAACAUGACUAGGUAGACUUACAAGCCAUAAUCAAUAUGAGCCACAUCUCAUGACCAUAUACAAUAACUCAAAAUAGGGCAAUACAUUUGGCCAAAUCAUAAUAACAAAUGUAAUAAAACUAGGUCCCUAUACGUGCCACUGACUUGAUAAUUCUAACAUAUGUAACAAUAUUCCAAAGGUAUUGGCUUGAUAGUGUGAUGCUGCCUCCGACGAUCUCAAACCCCGAGUCGACCUGACAACAAUAAAAGAAAUGGAAAUGAGGGAGUAAGCUUUACGCUUAGUAAGCUCGCAUGAAAAAUAAUAAGCAAUGUAUUAAUAUGUUAUUUUUCAAUUCCUCUCUAUUUAUUCAAAGUCCAGUUAAGCUAUUUUCUCAAGUCAUAGUCACUAAAUUAUUUAUAUCCGGAGCUACAGGACUCCAAAUUGAGAAUCGCUAAUUUUCCCAGAAACGACACUCACAUAUCUUCUGACCAUAAAAUUUUCAAAAUUUUUGGUCCAGCCAAUAAGUACAAUUUAUUAUUAAAAGUCUCCUCUGUUUUGCUGUUUGACAUCUUCGACCUUUCUUCACUAAAAUUUAUUUAUCCUAUAGUACGGGACUCGGAUGAUACUCUCGUCUAUUUCCCUUGAAAAUACACUCAUUAAAUAUUUUAAGCAUGUAAUUUAUAACCCAUGAUUAUUUUCAUACAAUUCUUAAUGAUUUUUCAAAGUUAAGACAGGGGAGUCCGAGAUCACUCUAACCCUGUUUCACAAACAUUCAAAGAUAAGCUUUAAUUCCAUAUUUUAUUCGGCCAUUAAUUCAACUUCCACAAUUUUUGGUGGAUUUUUAAAGUAGGACUAUUGCUACUGUCUAAACUGUUUUAGUACAAUAUAAUGAUACCAUCACAAGAUUUUCAUAAAAUUACUCUCAUAAGUAUCACUCAUUCAUUUUAAUUCUUAUCACAAGUCCACGGGUUUCGAGUACUUACCUGUGCUAUCAUUUAGCACAACACUCGUCCAAACAUGACAAUUCAUAUGCAUCAUAACAGUAUUAUAUAACAUAAUUCAAUUUAUCAUGGCAGGAACCUUUUUAUUUCAUUUCUCAUAUUAAUCUCUUUGAAUUUCUCGGAAUCUCGAUGGAUAUUCAUUCACCGUCAAUUCAUACAAGUGAUCAUUUCAAGUAUGCACUCUCGCGAACCUCGCUCUUACGGCGGGAUUACCAGUCCAGGCUAAAUCCCCCGUAAUAUAAACUUAUAAAGUAAAUGUCGGGAUUACCAAUCUAGGCUAAAUCCCCUGUAACGAAAAUUACUCUCGUGAGCUCGAAUCUGAAUUACCAAUCCAGGCUAAAUUCAGACCCUAAUCAGAUUACCCAUCCGGGCUAAACUCAUAUUGCACACAUAUUCUUCGGGAGGCUAGAUCACUUUACAAGUUCAUGUUCGUCAAUUCGUAUUUUCCCUUUCUAAAAAGCACACUCCCGCGAUCCUCCUUUCUUACAGAAGGAUCACCAGUCCAGGCUAAAUCCCCUACAACGACAUAUACUCAAAUGAGAUCAGAUCUGAAUUACCAGUCCAGGCUAACUUCAGAACCUAAUUUGGAUUACCCAUCCGGGCUAAAUCCAUUCACACAUAUUUUUCGAGAGGGCUAUAUAGGGAUUAGAUCACUCGUCCCGGCUAGAUCCUUUUUGCCAUCAAUUCUUUUUCAAAAAUCCAUCGAAUAUCCUAUUUCAUUCAACCAAGAUUUUUCUUCCUCUUAUUAUCAAUCAUGUCAAUGUUUCAUAAAUUUUUAUACAUUGAGCAUUCAAAUCAUAUUCUUAUCAAGAGCAUACAUUUAUCAUAUAAUCAUAAUUUAAGCAAUCAACAUACCUCAUACAUUGUAUUUACUUGCAAAUGGACUUACCUUCCUUUUCACUCUUUCACAAGUUAUCCAACUUAAUAAAACAUCUUGUUAUAUCAAAUUCUCAAUAUAUUUAGCGAUUAUAUGGCAAGCCAUCAAUGAUUGAAGCAUCCAACAUUUCAUGUGCUACUAGCCAUAUAUCAUUAUUUUUACAAAUUUUAUAUACCAUUCUUUCAUCACUUUUCAAUAUAUUAAAUCAUGUCAUUCGUGCAAUAAUAAUAUAGAAUUUUUAAUUCAAAUAUAGCGUUGUAAAUUUUAUUGACACACAAACUUACCUUGGCACCAAAAUAGCAAAAAGAAACCUAACUGUCGAUUUUCUAUUUUUCACCCAAUCUAGGUCCAAUCCUCGUUUUCCCUUAUCUAUAAUAUCACAUUUAGUCUAAUUAUUAGUCACAUUAUUUAAUGUGAUCCAAAUAUCAUAUUUUUCCAAAAUUAUAUUUUUGCACCUAAAUUGUGUCAAAAUUACACUUUUGCCCUUAGGCUCGUAAAAUGAUUUUUAUUCAAAUUUCUCUCUGUAAGCCUAGCUGAACCAUUUUCAUAACUAUAGAAAAUUACAAUUCUCAUCAAAACACCCUUUUAUACCAUUUUUACAACUUUUGCAAAAUGGUCCUUUCAGACAUUUUCAUCGAAAACCGCUUAGUAAAAGUCGCUUAUUUAACACCCAACACUCAUUUUCUACCAUUAGACAUCAAAAUGCAUGCAUGUCACACAUGGGUCAUUUUUUAAGCAUGAAACCUAGCUCAAAUUAAGGGUAGAAAUAGAUAGAUCUUGUUACGGAGAUUAAAAAAACGUAAAAAUCAUUAAAAAGGAGAUAAAAUGGACUUACAAUUGAGCUUGGAAGCUUGAAAAACCCUAGCCAUGAUUUUUCCAUGAAAGUUUCAGCUAAGAGGUUGAAGAUGGACAAAAAUUGGCUUUUAAUUUUAUUUUUAAUUCAUUUUAAUAACUAAAUGACCAAAAUGCCCUUAAUGAAAAAUUUUGGAAACAUGCCUAACCAUAUCCAUUUUUGUCCACCAACUCAGCCAAUGGUCUAAUUACCAUAUAAUGACCUUCAUUUAAAAUUUCAUAACAAUUGGAUACCUCUAGCAUGUAGAACUCAACUUUUGCACUUUUUACGAUUUAGUCCUUUUUACGAAAUUGAGUGUCCAAACGUCAAAAAAUUUCAAACAAAAUUUUCACGAAAUCAUUCUGUAAAAUUUUAGACCAUAAAAAUAUAAUAAAAAAUAAAAUUUUCCUCAUUCGAAUUUGUGGUCCCGAAACCACUAUUCAGACUAGGCCCAAAAUCGAAAUGUUACAUUUCUCCCCCCUUUAGGGAUUUUCGUCCUCGAAAAUCUUACCAGAAAAGCGAUUUUGGUUUUUCACUUAUUUUCCUCAAUCCUAUAAUCGAUGUCAAAGAAAUUUCACUCAAGUUGAGCUUUUACUACCUAUCUUUUAAAUUCCACAUACAAGAAUCAUGAGUGGUUUUCGCUUUACAACACUUUCACUGAAACUUAAUCUCUAUCAAAAAGUUCAUGUAUUCAAAAGUCCGAUCCAUACCAUCAUGUUACAUAUACAUUCAUACUUGAAUCUUUUUCGAAUUCGGAUAGUGAAACUAGCCAGUUCAUCCCGGCCUUAUACUUUCUAUAAUUUCACACGGUUCGAUUAUUUGUCAAUUCAACUCUCGGUUACCUUUCAUUUCAAAGCCUCUUUUGGCUUUCCCAAGAAAUCAUGAUAUGAAACCCGGAUCUCAAUCCGAUUAGUGGAGACUAGUAUUCCAAGAAAUUCAUCAAUCAUAAAGACACGAAAUUCCUCGAACUUGAUGAGCGAAAACUCAGUACCUACCAACAUGAUUUACAUAUCUCGUCAAAUAUUUAACAAUAGGCUACAUGACAUUUUUCUCUUUCAAAGACAGGGAUGAUCUGAUAGGGCCUUGAGAUAACCCUUUUCUCAUUUUCCAUCCUAAUGUUAAUAUUGGCAAGGAUAACUCUGAUAGAACCUAAUGCUCGGCUUUAACCCUAUUAACAUUUCAAAUAUUCUUACACAAAGAUCAUACAAUAACCAUCUCAUAAUUUUUUAAUACCCAAGUCAUUUGCACUAUAUCAAACUCAGGUCUUUCUAUGACAUCAGAUACUUUAAGCUAUCACUUGUCUUGUUACCUUAAAACACAUCACUAUUCAAACAACAAUACAUCACUAAAAAUCAGGAAGUCUUUGCUCAACACAAACUAGACUAGUUCAAAGGCUUCGGUUAACAAUGUUCUCAUCUGUCCAAACUUUGCCAAUUAUGAAUUAAGCCAUUAAUUUCACAAGACAAAAAAUUUACCACUUAAGCCUUUGCCAAUGUUAAAUCCUUAUACGAAAAUUUAGAGACAUUCAAAUACUAAGAUCACCAAAUUACCAUGAUCAAAUCAGAAGCAUAAUCAUACUUGAUAUAUAUCACAAGCUAAAGGUCAUAUUUUAACCAUAAGCCAUGUUCGACAACUUACGAGAUAAAGAUGACCAAGAAUUCAAGAUAAGGAAAUCCAUAAUGGAGAAAUCCAGAAUAUAGAAAUCCAACAUAAAAAAAUCCAAAACAAGAAAAUCCAAUCACGAUACCGUAUCAAAAGACCGAGAACAAAGUUCAUAAGAAAAUAUGAAAGACCUUAAUGGUUCUUUAGAGAAAAGAAAUCUAGAAGAAAAUAUCAUUCUGACCGCCAAAGAUAGAUGUAACAAGAAUAAUAUACCUUCCUAUAUACAUAUCGGACAAAUCAACUAUUAGAAGAAACUGAAUCAUAGCAUCAUAUGCACCUUUUUUCAUCAUUUCCCAACAUACGGAAGGUAACAAAAUACCAGAAAGAAAUAAGAUCAUGUAGAUUAUGUACCAAUCAGACUGAUAAUGCUUGUCUAUCAUUAAAAUCAGGGAACAUUUCCAUAUUGAAAUUCAUCAGAGAAUAUACAACCACUACAACAAAUUUCCAGAAAUAAAUGGACUCAUAGAGUGCCUUAAGAGAGACUGUCAUCAUUUGCUCACUAUAAUUAUCAUACCUAAACAUCUCACAUUCGAACAUUAUUCCUUUAACUAUUUUCUGCAUCAAAAAUUCCAUUUUAUUCCUUCACUAAAGGGAAUUAGCUCAUGAGGGAAUUUCAACUAAUACAUUUCUCGACUUCAUACCAGGAUAGAUCGUUUUACUAAAAUCCACCUUUUCACUAACUGCGAUGUUGCGAAAAUUAAACAAUCUUUCAGUCAAUCCGAUAUCUUUCUAGCUCUAUUUGUACUUAUCAAUCCAUUCUUAAUCACUAAUCCAGCUUAUAACCAUUCUAUCACUGAACUCUUUGGUUUCUCACCUGGAAACUUAUUCAACACAAAUCUCAAAAAAUUCCAUUAUAAAACACCACUUUGGUAAGAGGGAGGAGGGUUGUAGGGCCUCUGACUCGACCCUCAUAUACAUAUACAUGCAACACAACUUUCAUCAUUAUAGCAACAUCAUACAAGGGUAAACAAAUAUGGAUACUUACAUCACAAUUGCAACUUUUAUUUCAUGUAUCAUUAUGUUACAUAUCAUUACAAUCAUACAAAUUAGUCCAAGCAAUUUAACACAUUUACUUAAACUAUACGAGCUUAUCAACUAUAAUCUUUCAUAUAAGCGUACGUGAAUAUUCAUUCCAUCUAUAUCUUUGGUAAGUUACUUAAACACAUGCAUUUACUCGAGCAAUUCAGCCAUGUACAUCAUGGAGUUAUCAAUCAAUCACAGGUAAGCUCAUUAUGCCAUAUAAUCCUUUAUCUCAUUUCAAUAAUUCAUUGCAAUCUAUAAAAUUUUAAUAUCCAAUCAGGACUAUGACAUUUUAUCCAUAACAAGGUAUUAUGAAUAUUAUUUUUACCUUUCCAAGUUUCAACUUCUCAUAACUACGUGUUACUCAAAUACCUCCUUAUCACAAUCAAUAUGGUCGGAUGUAGCUCAGUUGGAGAGUUCCUUUGUUUACACAAAGUGGCUAUCAUACGUGUCGGGAAACAUCACACUAUCUCAGAUUGGUGGCAUGUAUAAUUAGACUCUCACACAUAUGCUAGGUUAGUCUGAGAACCGACUAAACUAUAACUCGGAUACCACUAAAUGUAUCACCCCUUACCCGUGUCUUACUCCGGGACAAGGUACGAGGCACUAUCGAACUUACACAAAAAUAAUCAUGCAAACCGAGCCAUAAAAUUUCAUUCAUAUUCUAAAACAUCCAAUCACAUGCACAUUUUCCCUUAUUUGGGUUUACGAAGCCCAAAACAUGCUUUAGAAAUGGUUCAGGACUAAACCGAGAACUUUGGAAAGCUCUGGGAAAAACUUAAAAGUUUUUUCCCAUGAAAAAGGGUCACACACCCAUGUGGACACAGGGGCACGCCCGUGUCUUCAGGCCGUGUAACUCUCUGUUUAUAACGUUAGCAAAUAAAUUGAACCACACGGCCAAGCCAUAUGCCCGUGUCCCCAGGCCGUGUCCCUCACACGGUUGAGACACACAGUCGUGUCUUAUCCCUUGUAGUUAACUCUUAUGCUAUUUUCCAAGCCUUUUUGUCACUUUUACAUGCACACGCAUUUACAUGGAUCCAAUGGCAUUCACAUCCUCAAUUAUGAUACAAACAUAUCAUUUACUUAUCAACAUGCAUGUGUUACACAUUCUCACAUUAAACCAAAACUAAUCAUACCAUAGUUAUCUUUGUGCCAAUUUAUUUCAACUUAUCAUCAAACUUCCAUGUUCAAAACAUUAUUAUUUUAUCUCUAUAUUACACAUUUAAUUCAUGGUCAUAAAACAUGCAUUCAACACACAUGACAUAUUUAAUUCAUAUGCAUCAUAACUGUAUCAUAUAACAUAAAUGAGUUUAUCAUGGCAGGAACCUUUUUAUUUCAUUUCUCAUAUUAAUCUCAUUGAAUUUCUCAAAAUCUCGAUGGAUAUCCAUUCACCGUCAAUUCAUACAAGUGAUGAUUUCAAGUAUGCACUCUCGCGAACCUCGCUCUUACGGUGGGAUUACCAAUCUAGGCUAAAUCCCCCGUAAUAUAAACUCAUAGAGUAAAUGUCGGGAUUAUCAGUCCAGGCUAAAUCCCCUAUAACAACAAUUACUCUCAUGAGCUCGGAUCUGAAUUACCAGUCCAGGCUAAAUUCAUACCCUAAUCGGAUUACCUAUCCGAACUAAAUCCAUAUUGCAUACAUAUUCUUCGGGAGGCUAGAUCACUUUACAAGUUCAUGUCCGUCAAUUCGUAUUUUUUCUUUUUAAAAAGCACACUCCUGCGAACCUCCUUUCUUACAGCAGGAUCACCAGUUCAGGCUAAAUCCCCUAUAAUAUAAACUCAUAGAGUAUUGUCGGGAUUACCAGUCCAGGCUAAAUCCCUUACAACGACAUAUACUCAAAUGAAAUCGAAUCUGAAUUACCAGUCCAAGCUAAAUUCAGAACCUAAUUCAGAAUACCCGUCCGGGCUAAAUCUAUUCACACAUUCUUCGGGAGGGCUAUAUAUGGAUUGGAUCACCCGUCCCAACUAGAUCCUUUUUACCAUCAAUUCCUUUUCAAGAAUCCAUCGAAUAUCCUAUUUCAUUCAACCAAGAUUUUUCUUCCUCUUAUUAUCAAUCAUGUCAAUGUUUCAUAAAUUUUCAUACAUUGAACAUUCAAUUUAUAUUCUUACCAAGAGCAUACAUUUAUCAUAUAAUCAUCAUUUAAGCAAUCAACAUACCUCACACAUUGUAUUUACUUGCAAAUGGACUUACCUUCCUUUUCACUCUUUCACAAGUUAUCCAACUUAAUAAAACAUUAUGUUAUGUCAAAUUCUCAAUAUAUUCAGCUAUUAUAUAGCAAGCCAUCAAUGAUUGAACCAUCUAACAUUUCAUGUGCUACUAGUCAUAUAUUAUUGUUCUUACAAAUUUUAUAUACCAUUCUUUCAUCAAUUUUCAAUAUGUUAAAUCAUGUCAUUCGUGCAAUAAUAAUAUAGAAUUUUCAAUUCAAAUAUAGCAUUUCAAAUUUUAUUGACACACGAAAUUACCUUGGCACCAAAAUAGCAAAAAAAAAACCUAACCGUCGAUUUUUCAUUUUUCACCCAAUCUAGGUCCAAUCCUCGUUUUCCCUUAUCUAUAGUAUCACAUUUAGUCUAAUUAUUAGUCACAUUAUUUAAUGUGAUCCAAAUAUCAUAUUUUUCCAAAAUUACAUUUUUACCCCUAAAUUGUGUCAAAAUUACACUUUUACCCUUAGGCUCGUAAAGUGAUUUUUAUUCAAAUUUCUCACUCUGUAGGCCUAGCCAAACCAUUUUCAUAACUAUAGAAUAUUACAAUUCUCAUCAAAAUACCCUUUUAUACCAUUUUUACAACUUUUGCAAAAUGGUCCUUUCGGACAUUUUCAUCGAAAAUCACUUAGUAAAAGUCGCUUAUUUAACACCAAACACUCAUUUUCUACCAUUAGACAUCAAAAUGCAUGCAUGUCACACAUGGGUCAUUUUUUAAGCAUGAAACCUAGCUCAAAUUAAUAGUAGAAAUAGAUGGAUCUUGUUACGGAGAUUAAAAAAACGGAAAAAUCAUUAAAAAGGGAAUAAAAUGGACUUACAGUUGAGCUUGGAAGCUUGAAAAACCCUAGCCAUGAUUUUUCCAUGAAAGUUUCAACUAAGAGGUUGAAGAUGGACAAAAAUUGGCUUUUAAUUUUGUUUUUAAUUCAUUUUAAUAACUAAAUGACCAAAAUGCCCUUAAUGAAAACUUUUGGAAACAUGCCUAACUAUGUCCAUUUUGUUCCACCAACUUAAACAAUGUCUAAUUACCAUAUAAAGACCUUCAAUUUAAAUUUUCAUAAUAAUUAGACACCUCUAGCAUGUAGAACUCAACUUUUGCACUUUUUACAAUUUAGUCUUUUUUACUAAAUUGAGUGCCCAAACGUCAAAAAUUUUUAAAAUAAAUUUUCACGAAAUCAUUCCAUGAAAUUAUAGACCAUAGAAAUAUAAUAAAAAUAAAAUUUUCCUCAUCAGAUUUGUAGUCCCGAAACCAUUGUUCCGAUUAGGCCUAAAAUCGGGAUGUUACAUGUUUGAAUGUUUUAAACAUUGAAAUGUUAUUGCAGUCACUAACACUGGAAGGUACAGUGAGAGUUUGAGCCAAUAAGCAUUUCAGCAAAAGUUAAAUAAGGAUCAAAGGAAUUUAGUCCACUUGUUCUUAAUAGUGCCAUAUUGCCAUCAUCGAAAAGUAAGGUUCAUGUGCAUGGUUAAGUCCCAGAUUAAAUAAAAGAGUGACAUUUGGUAAGAUAUACAUUAAAUUUUAUUGCUUCGACAAUCACCUAUCUUUUAUACCUUGUGAGUACUUAGUAUACUAUUGAAGAUUCAUAUUGGGGAUCCCAGUUUAUCCAUAGCAUACUUUAUCUUAUUAUUUUCGAGUUAUUGCUUCGACAACUAUACUCACAAUUUAUCUCAUUUCUAUCUAGUUAUUACACUUACAAUAAUAGACAAAAGACAACCAUCCCUGUGGGAUCAAUAUCAGAUAGACUCGCAUCUGUUUAUUAUACUUACGUUGACAGUGUACGCUAGCACAUUUUUAUUGUGAUGUUUACAGUCGAUCAAUUGACUUAUGAGAUUUUACACUCCUUUAGACAAAAAAGUGUGAGAAACAACGAUUUUAUAACAUUAAAUCUAGAUAUAAGCAAAGCAAAUGAUAGAGUUAAAUGGAGUUUCCUUCGAGUCAUGAUGGAGGGAAUGGGUUUUGCCAUGUCAUUGGUGGAUUUAAUUAUGUGAUGUAUUACCUCUGUUUCAUAUUCGGUGAUUGUUAACGGCAACGUUGGGAAAAUUUUCAAGCCGAUAGAGGGCUUCGUCAAGAACACCCAUUGAGUCUGUUCCUUUUUUUUUUUCUAAUCUAUAGCGAAGGUUUUUCGGUUCUGAUGAAGUUGGUUUUGAAUGAAGGCUUGCUUAAAGGGGACAAGGUUAGUAGAAGUGGACCACAAAUAACACAUUUUUUAUUUGCUGAUGAUUGCAUGUUGUUUAGUGAGGCAAAUAAAAGGGGGCUCAUACAUUGAAAAGUGUAUUAAAGGAGUAUAAGGUCUACUCAAGUAAAUGUAUUAAUUAUGAUAAGUUAAUUAUUUUCUUCAGUUUGAAUACUAUCGAAAGUGUGAGGCUCUCAGUUUCAAGAAUUUUGGGUGUUAGGUGUUCGAAUGAUCUAAAGCGUUACUUGGGACUUUCAAAUAUGGUGGGAAGAUGAAAGAAGUGGGCAUUUUAGAUUUUAAAGGAUAUGCUCAAACAAAAAAUCGGCAGUUGGAGUACAAGAAUUUUUUCUCAAAGGAGAAAAGAAAUUUUCAUUAAAGUUGUCCUACAAGUCAUUCCAACAUAAUCUAUGAUGUGUUUCUUGCUGCCUAAGUCAGUUUGUGGGGAGUUGGAGAGCAUAAUGGCUAGAUUUUGGUGGCAAAAAAGACAUGGUAGGAGGGGUAUACAUUAGUGUGAAUGGAGUAGGCUUUGUAAGUUUAAAGAAAUAGGAGGCUUGGGUUUUCAAAGCCUAGCAAAAAUUAAAUUAGCAUUGUUAGCAAAACAGGGUUAGCGUCUUAUUAAUAAUCCAAAUUUCUUAUUAACUCAAGUGUUUAAAGCUAAAUAUUAUCUGCAAUGUAAUUUUUUGGAAGCUAGGUUAGGAAAUCUACCUUCUUAUACCUGGAAGAGUAUUUGGGUAACUAAGGGUCUCCUUAAAAAGGGGCUCUGUUGAAGGGUUGGGAAAGGAGACAAAUUUUUUGUUGUAAAAGCUGUAUGGAUCCGGCGAGCUAAAAAUUAUAGAAUCAAUGGUAGUGUUAGUGACAAUGGAAUAACAAGGGUAUCAGAAUGAAUUAAUAGUUUGACUAAAACUUGGAAAGUUGGUGUUGUUAAGGAUACCUUUUUUGAAGUUGAUGCAAGUAGAAUCCUGAGGAUUCCUUUGGCCACGAUGGAACAUGAAGAUAUGGUAGUAUGGAGGGGAGAGUCUUUUGGUGAGUUCUCAAUCCGGAGUGGGUACAAAUUAUUUCUCAAUAGUACUUUUGAUCCUAAUACUACUGAUUUACAUAACAAUAUGAAACAUUUUUAUAGAAAACUAUGGAACCUCAAAACAAAAAAUUACAGUAUGGAAAGUUUCAUGGAAUUUUCUGCCUACUCUAAUAAAUCUACAUUAUAGAAGGUUCAAAUUGAGUACAACAUGUCCAAGAUGUGGCGAUGGAGUGGAGACUAUAACGCAUGUGUUUAGAGAAUGUCUUAUAUCAGAAAAAAAUUGGAAUUUUUUAAAUCUUGUAUGGGUAUUAUCUAUGCCUAAUCUGGGAAACUGGGAAUGGCUCACCUGGGUGUUUAGAAGAGGAUCGAGUCACCAAUGUUGUAUCUUUUGCUACGCGCUUUGGGUUAUC